GAUGAAGAACGUAGCGAAAUGCGAUACGUAAUGUGAAUUGCAGAAUUCAGUGAAUCAUCGAGUCUUUGAACGCACAUUGCGCCCCCUGGUAUUCCGGGGGGCAUGCCUGUCCGAGCGUCAUUGCUGCCCUCAAGCACGGCUUGUGUGUUGGGCCUCCGUCCUCCUCCCGGGGGACGGGCCCGAAAGGCAGCGGCGGCACCGCGUCCGGUCCUCGAGCGUAUGGGGCUUCGUCACCCGCUCUNGUNNNNNCGGCCGGCGCUUGCCGACACAUCAAUCUUUUUUCCAGGUUGACCUCGGAUCAGGUAGGGAUACCCGCUGAACUUAAGCAUAUCAAUAAGCGGAGGA
rnacentral:misc_RNA from 1 species